rnacentral:rRNA from 6 species
GGAAUACCCGCUGAACUUAAGCAUAUCAAUAA